rnacentral:rRNA from 1 species
GUCGAACGCUGGCGGCGUGCUUAACACAUGCAAGUCGAACGAGUGGCGAGCGGGUGAGUAAUACGUGGGUAACCUGCCCUCUUUUUGGGAUAAGCCUUGGAAACGGGGUGUAAUACCGAAUAAAGGGGGAUGGGCUCGCGGCCUAUCAGCUUGUUGGUGGGGUGAUGGCCUACCAAGGCGGUGACGUGUAGCCGGCCUGAGAAGGUGGACGUACACAUUGGGCAGUAGAUAAGGCCCAGACUCCUACGGGAGGCAACAGUGGGGGAUAUUGCACAAUGGGCGAAAGCCUGGAGGCGCAACGGCGCGGGGGUGAUGACGGCCUUCGGGUUGUAAAGCUCUGUUAGGCGGGACGCGGUACCGGAAUAAAAAGCCACGGCUAACUACAUGCCAGCAGCCGCGGUAAUAC